rnacentral:rRNA from 1 species
AUUAUGGAGAGUUUGAUCCUAGCUCAGGAUGAACGCUGGCGGCAUGCCUAACACAUGCAAGUUG